rnacentral:lncRNA from 1 species
UAUACUGUAGACUUAUGUUAAAGUAAUGCAUGCAUGCGUAUAGCUAUGGACUGCAUUUAAUGAGCUCCAAGUUAGAAUUUACCACACCUUUUCUGAGGUGAUUUGGAGACUUUGGUCCAGAUAUAUGGAUCCAGAUCAGCCGAGUAGCUCCCGUAAGACCUCUUCAGGUGUGAGGAAGAGAGCUUCAGAUGUGCCUCAGCCUCACCCAACCCGACAGCCUCGUCGGAUGACAGAGUCAGUGAUUCGUUCUAUCCGGGUGGAGAGAUCAGAUGUUGAGGACGAGGAGGAGGACGUACCCAUUGCGGAUCUUGCUCCUUCUUCU